AACGGCGAGUGAAGAGGGAAAAGCCCAAAUUUGUAAUCUGGCUCUUUUAUAAGGGUCCGAGUUGUAAUUUUGAGAACUGUUUUCCGUGCUGGACCAUGUACAAGUCUGUUGAAAAACAGCAUCAUUGAGGGUGAUAAUCCCGUACAUGAUAUGGACUACCAGGGCAAUGUGAUACAGUCUCUAAGAGUCGAGUUGUUUGGGAAUGCAGCUCAAAGUGGGUGGUAAAUUCCAUCUAAGGCUAAAUAUAGGUGAGAGACCGAUAGCAAACAAGUACCGUGAGGGAAAGAUGAAAAGAACUUUGGAAAGAGAGUUAACAGUACGUGAAAUUGUUAAAAGGGAAACAUUUGAAGUUAGACUUGUUAUUGUUGGUUCAGCUCUUUAUAAGGGUGUAUUCCAAUGGUUAACAGACCAGCAUCAAUUUUUGGGUGUUAGAUAAGGGUCUUGAGAAUGUAGCAACUUUGGUUGUGUUAUAGAUCUUGACUUGAUAUAAUGCUUAGGAUUGAGGAACGCAGUGAGCUUCUUUGAAGUGGAUUCCCUUGGGAGUCUCUCACUACGGAUGUGGUAGCCGACGACCCCA
rnacentral:rRNA from 1 species